rnacentral:rRNA from 1 species
AUAUGUAGGUGGCAAGCGUUGUCCGGAAUUACUGGGUGUAAAGGGCGUGUAGGCGGAGCGGCAAGUCAGAAGUGAAAUCUCCGGGCUUAACCCGGAAACUGCUUUUGAAACUGUCGCCCUUGAGUAUCGGAGAGGCAGGCGGAAUUCCUAGUGUAGCGGUGAAAUGCGUAGAUAUUAGGAGGAACACCAGUGGCGAAGGCGGCCUGCUGGACGACAACUGACGCUGAGGCGCGAAAGCGUGGGGAGCAAACAGGAUUAGAUACCCUGGUAGUCCACGCCGUAAACGAUGGAUACUAGGUGUGGGGGGACUGACCCCCUCCGUGCCGCAGUCAACACAAUAAGUAUCCCACCUGGGGAGUACGAUCGCAAGAUUGAAACUUAAAGGAAUUGACGGGG